GAAGAUCUGAGUUUGUGAAGUGCAUAAAGACAUUAGAAGUCUUCCCGAAUGGAGUGAAAGACAUUUUGGAAGGGCUGCAGUUGGCCAUCUUUAUUUCCCUUCCUUAUCAUCUAGGUACUUGAGGCAUGGGUCCUGCUGUCUUGCUGGCCAUUCUGUGCUUGGGAGUGGCUGAAGUUACUCAAUCAACUGAUCCCAGUUUGGAUUCUGAUUGUCAGGAGUGGAAGAGAAAAUUUAACAAAAACUACAGCAUGGUUAGUAGUAUGAACACUAUUCAGCCAGACCUCAGGGAGAAUGGUACUUAUUGGUAUUUAUAGUACAACAGAGGUCAUAGAGACUACCUUUUAUUAAGCAAUUGUCCAAAGUCAUGAUCCAAGAAUACAGGAUGGUGAGAAAUUCUAUUCUUAGAUAUGUGAAGAAUGGCUUUUUCUGCAGUAUCCUGAGACCUGUCUUAUGACCUCUGGCAGUGAGUCCUCCUUGCCAGCUUGUGGGCAAGUUUUAUUAUAAAGAAAUGUCACACAUUAUGGUUAUUUCCAGGAGGAAGAAGGACAUAAGAGAGAAGUUUAGGAAGAAAAUAUGAAACUUGUCAAACAGCAUAAUAUUGAAUAUGAUCAGGGAAAGAAUAACUUCACUAUGCAGGUCAAUGGCUUUGGUGACAUGGUGAGUUUGAGACAGACUGCAUCACCUACGUUUUCCAAUAUUUUGUGUGAAAUCUUUUACUUUCUAAUGAUUCUUGUUUUUCUUGAAGACCAGAGAGGAAUUCAGGAAAAUGCUGACUGAUAUUCCAGUCCAGAAUCUUAGGAAGAAGAAAGGCAUCUGCCAGUCUAUUUUUGGUUAUCUCCCCAAAUUUGUAGAUUGGAGAAGAAGAGGCUAUGUGACUUCUGUGAAGAAUAGGUAUAAGCAUAUCACAUGACUGUCUUGUUGAGUCGCUGGUGAGAAAAAAUUAGCGUUGACAACUCUGUGUGUGUUGAGUGUAGAAUGACACAUAAUUUACUUUUUUAAAAAUUUAAUUUUAUUUCUUUUACUUAUUCACUUUGUUUUUGCUUUUGAUUUUUUGUUUUCCAAUUUAAUUAUUCUUCUUUUUUAACUUAUUCACUUUACAUUCAGUACUUUGUUCCCUUCCCAGUCACCUUCCCCCACAAUUCUUUUUUCUUCCUUCUUCCCUUCACUUCUGAGCAGGUGGAGGCCCCUUGACUAUCCCUCCUUACCAUACUUUGAGUCUCUGCAAGGCUAAAUGCUUUUUCUUCCAAUUGAAGACAGACAAGGCAGCCCAGCCAGUAGAACAUGAUCCAUAUACAUAAACAGCUUGUUCAGAUAGCCUGUUACAAUUGUUUAACCCAUACGAAGGUCAAGCAGCACAUCUGCUCUAUAUGAGUGGGGAGGCCUUGGUUCAGUCUUUGUAUUCUUUAGUUGGUGGUUCAAUCUCUGAGAGCCCAAGAGUACAGGUUAGUCGAUUCAAGUUCAUCUUCCUAUGGAGUAAAUGGGACCUCAGGAAACUGCAAAGCUUUUAAGGUAAGUGACAUUGUCAAUAGAACAAAUCGGUAGCUGAAAGAGUGGGAAAGAAUCUUUAUUAACUUUACAUCUGACAAAGGGUUAAUAUCUAAAAUGUACAAAUAACUCAAGAAGUUAGACACAAACAACACAAAUGAACCAAUUACAAAAUAAGAGACAGAACUAAUUAGAAUUCUCAACACAUGAAUCUAGAAAUGCUGAGAAGCACUUAAAUGUUCAAAGUCAUCAGGAAAAUGCAAAUCAAACAACUAUGACAUUCCCUCUUGCUUCGAUCAAAAUGGCUAAGAUCAAAAAUUUCAAGAGAUAACACAUGGUGGGGAGGUUGUGGAACAAGAGGAAUACUACUUCACCACUGAUUGGAGUGCAAACUUGUACAACCACUUUGGAAAUCAAUUUGACAUUCUCUCAGAAAACUGGGAAUAUUUUUACCUCAAGACCAAGAUGUACUACUCUUGGGCAUAUACCCAAAAUAUCCUCAAAUAUCUCAUAAAGACAAUUGUUCAACAAUAUUCAUAGGAUCUUUACUUAUAAUAGCCAUUCUUCACUUUUAAUAACUUAUGUUCCUAUUUUGAAUGUUUCAUUUGUUUGUACAAGGUAUAUGGUUCAUGUCCAUCAACCAUUAUCUACUCAUACCUAGUGGCCUCCAUAUUCCACUCACUCUCCAUAUUCUGUGUCUUAUUUAUUUUUGGUAGUAGCAACCAGACAACUUUAUGUCCUGACAAUAUGUUCAUGCUCAUACAUGUGCAUGCAUGUGUAUGUAGCAAUUCAUUGGUGUUCAAGCAAGCUGGAAGCAGCCAGGUCCCCAAGAAAAAUUAAAUGUCUUUCCUUGGCACCAACAACCUGCAAUCAGUUCAUUCUUUGACAUACUAUUCAGCUGUCUGAUUUGGGGUUGCUAGUUGUUUGUGUGUGACUGUCUUUUAUUCUCUACUGAGGGCAGAUGUAAUUCUUGUUGGGCCUUUUCUGCAGCUGGUGCCAUAGAAGGACAGAUAUUUCGGAAAACAGGCAGACUAAUCUCAUUGAGUGCACAAAACCUAGUGGACUGUUCGAGAACUGAAGGGAAUCAUGGCUGUUCUUCGGGCCAUACAUUCCGUGCUUUAAAGUACGUGUGGCGUAAUGGAGGUCUGGAGGCUGAGUCAACCUAUCCAUACAAAGGAAGGGUGCUUGAGGCAUGGGUCCUGCUGUCUUGCUGGCCAUCCUAUGCUUGGGAGUGGCUGAAGUUACUCAAUCAUCUGAUCCCAGUUUGGAUUCUGAAUGGCAGGAGUGGAAGAGAAAAUUUAACAAAAACUACAGCAUGGAGGAAGAAGGACAGAAGAGAGCAGUGUGGGAAGAAAACAUGAAACUGGUCAAACAGCAUAAUAUUGAAUAUGAUCAGGGAAAGAAAAACUUCACCAUGGAUGUCAAUGCCUUUGGUGACAUGACUGGUGAGGAAUACAGGAAAAUGCUGACUGAUAUUCCAGUCCCAAAUUUUAGGAAGAAGAAAAGUAUCCACCAACCUAUUGCUGGUUAUCUCCCCAAAUUUGUGGACUGGAGAAAAAGAGGCUGUGUGACUCCUGUGAAGAAUCAGGGCACGUGUAAUUCUUGUUGGGCUUUUUCUGCGGCUGGUGCCAUAGAAGGACAGAUGUUCAGGAAAACAGGCAAACUGGUCCCACUGAGCACACAAAAUCUAGUGGACUGUUCUAGACUUGAAGGGAAUUUCGGCUGUUUUAAGGGCAGCACAUUCCUUGCUUUAAAGUACGUGUGGAAAAAUAGAGGUCUAGAGGCUGAGUCAACCUAUCCAUACAAAGGAACGGACGGACACUGCAGGUACCACCCUGAACGUUCUGCUGCUAGAAUCACUAGCUUUUCGUUUGUUUCAAACAGUGAGAAAGACUUAAUGCGUGCUGUAGCAACUAUCGGACCCAUCUCUGUUGGAAUUGAUGCUAGACAUAAAUCUUUCAGGUUGUAUAGGGAAGGUAUUUAUUAUGAGCCAAAGUGCAGCAGUAAUAUUAUCAACCAUUCUGUUCUGGUAGUUGGCUAUGGUUAUGAAGGAAAGGAGUCAGAUGGCAACAAAUAUUGGCUGAUAAAGAACAGUCAUGGUGAGCAAUGGGGCAUGAAUGGCUACAUGAAGCUUGCCAGAGGCAGGAACAACCACUGUGGAAUUGCUUCAUAUGCCGUCUACCCCAGAGUGUAAACUGCCUGAUGGUAAGAAGGAAGGGUUGGAAUGGAGACAGCCUGUGAAGUGGAGGCACUUUCUGUUUACCAUGACCAGCCUCUGCUGCAUGGAUAGAGUUCAUGAGUUACUGCAGAACGUGAUGUAAUGUGAAUUCUGUUAUGUUUUUAUCCAGUAAGACAUGAUGGAUACUGUAACUUAAGCACUUCACUUAUUUGUAUUUGAUUCCCAUAACUUGAUUUUGUGUUUGUUUAAUGAUUGUAUAAAACAAUAUCUUUAAAGAAUAUUUAAGUUCAA
rnacentral:lncRNA from 1 species